rnacentral:rRNA from 1 species
AUGUCAAGAAUGCCUACAAGUAGCCAUCACCUAGGUUCUCUUCCUAAUGGCAUGGUUUGUCGUCUUCGUCGCUGUCUAUAUGGCCCUAAGCAAACCCUUCGUGCCUGGUUUGAGCGCUUCGUCUCAGUGGUGAUUGCGGCUAGUUUUUGGCGAGUGGGCAUUAUCCUACACUUUCGAUCCACCGUUCGAGUGCACCUCUUCCCACGGCGUCAUCGCUCUACUUUCCUACUCUACCCUCCAUUAUAUGCUCUGCGGCAUUGUCGUCGUGGCCAGGAUGGUGGCAAAAUCACUAGCGUUGAUGCCUCUCGCAUGAUGUUGCUAGAGCAUUCAUCCUCUCAAGUGGCACGAACGGCCGAAGGGGACAAUGCCACCAUGGAUUUUGGCAUUCCCUCUGUUGGAUCGUGA